GUAUAGGUAUAGGUAUAGAAUAUGAACAUGCAACAUUUACAAGAAAUAAAUCAGAUAAUAAUGAAAAAAGAAAAAAAAACAUAUGAUAUAAAAUUACUACAACAAAAAAAUGAUAAUAACUUAAAAAUGAUAAAUUUUUAUAAACUCGAAAUAAAUAAAUUAAGAGAAGCUCUAUUAUCAGUGAAAACUUAUUAUUACAACUAUAGAAUUAAAUCAAAAAAAAACAUUAACGAAUUAAUGAUUCAAUAUGAGAGAAUAAAAUUUCAAUUUAUUGAAUUACAAAAGAGACAAAAAAGUUAUGAACAAAAUUUUCAAAAAAAAUACACAAAUGCUUGGAACUUGCAAAAAAACGAGGCCAACAAGCACAUUGAAAAAUUAAUAAAUGCAAAUAAAAUAAUUCACGAACAAAUCCUUUUAAAAGAAUUUCAUCAAACUAAUUAUAAACAAUUGAUAGAAGAUAACAGCAGUUUAAUUUCAACAACCGUUAAAGAUCAUGAAAUCCCUCAAACAGAGUUAAAUACAAAACGUGUUAAUAUACAACAUAUUGAAAAUGUUAAGAAGCUACUUCUGCAAGAAUGCAAUUUCCUAGUCGAAGACGAUAUCGAUGACGAACAACAAAAAAUAAAAAAACUAUUAAAAUACAUAGGUGUGUAUACACAAGAAGAUUUAGAACUACUAACACAAUUGUUUUAUUUAGAUUAUGAGCACGAAAAUGACAGUAACAAUAAUAACAACAAAGAGAGUGACCAUAAUGCGAUAAAAUAUAAUUCAGAAUAUACAUUAGAUAUAAUUUAUAAGUAUUAUCAAGAAAAAGAAAAAGAAAAUGCUUGUAAAAUAACAAAGAAUAAACAACAAUAUAAAAAUAGGUUAAAUAUUUCUUUAAAGUUAAUAAUUGAGAGAAGAAAAAAAGAAAAAGAGUUCUGGGAAAACUUAACGCAUAUUACAUCUAAUGAUAUGAUAGAAAUGUGGAAGACAUUCUCAGUUUUUGUGGAAAAGUAUUACUAUAUAUUAAAAGAUCGAGCAACUAUUGUCCAAAAUAUUUUUAAUGAAGAAAAAUUAAUCAUUGAAAAUAAAAACAAAAUUGAAAACAUGCGUGAAGCUUUAUCCAAGCUAUAAACAAGUAAAGAUUCAUAUAUUUUGUUUUUAAAGAUUUAAACCUUGUUUAGUGUAAUAAAAUAAAAAUGCAGAAGUCUGUAUUGAGAAAG
rnacentral:lncRNA from 1 species